UUCUCAUCCUGGAAGCUCUUUGAACCUCAAUGACUUGAUGAAAUUUGAAGCCCUACCGGAUCUUGAUGCUGAAACAAAUGAUAAUCUAUUUGAUAUGGACAAAGAAUAUGGUAGUAUCGGCUUAGAUACUCCAAACACGAGGAAACACAGUAAAUAU